rnacentral:misc_RNA from 1 species
UGGUUCUGGCAUCGAUGAAGAACGCAGCGAAAUGCGAUAAGUAAUGUGAAUUGCAGAAUUCAGUGAAUCAUCGAAUCUUUGAACGCAUAUUGCGCCCUUUGGCAUUCCGAAGGGCAUACCUGUUCGAGCGUCAUUACACCUCUCAAAGAUAACUCUUUGGCGUUGGGCAAUGCCUAAAGGCAUGCCUCAAAAUCAGCGAUGGUGAUAUUCAACCACAGGCGCACAAACGUCGUCUAGCUGGCGGGAUGUUGUCAGUCAAUUGAUGAAUUUCUAAUUGUUGACCUCGGAUCAGGUAGGAAUACCCGCUGA